AGAGUUUGAUCAUGGCUCAGAACGAACGCUGGCGGCAUGCUUAACACAUGCAAGUCGAACGGGAAGCUCAACUUCGGUUGAGUGGAGAGUGGCGCACGGGUGAGUAACGCGUAGAUAAUCUACCCUUAGGCCUGGGAUAACGUUUCGAAAGGGACGCUAAUACCGGAUAAAACCUUUGAUCGAAUGGUCAGAAGUUGAAAGUUCCGGCGCCUGAGGAUGAGUCUGCGUCCCAUUAGCUAGUUGGUGAGGUAGGAGCUCACCAAGGCAACGAUGGGUAGCGGGUCUGAGAGGAUGAUCCGCCACACUGGCACUGAGACACGGGCCAGACUCCUACGGGAGGCAGCAGUGGGGAAUAUUGCGCAAUGGGCGAAAGCCUGACGCAGCAAUGCCGCGUGAGUGAAGAAGGCUUUCGGGUCGUAAAGCUCUUUAUCUCUGUGAAGAUAAUGACGGUAGCAGAGGAAUAAGCACCGGCUAACUACGUGCCAGCAGCCGCGGUAAUACGUAGGGUGCGAGCGUUGUUCGGAAUUACUGGGCGUAAAGGGUGUGUAGGCGGAAUGGUCAGCUAGAGGUGAAAGCCCGGGGCUCAACCCCGGAAUUGCUUUUAGAACUGCCAAUCUAGAGAGGGUCAGAGGUCAGCGGAAUUCCUAGUGUAGAGGUGAAAUUCGUAGAUAUUAGGAGGAACACCGGCGGCGAAAGCGG
rnacentral:rRNA from 1 species